rnacentral:rRNA from 1 species
CCUACGGGGGGCAGCAGUGAGGAAUAUUGGUCAAUGGCCGGAAGGCUGAACCAGCCAUGCCGCGUGAAGGUCAGUGCCCUAUGGGCGUUAAACUUCUUUUGUGCGGGAGCAAUAAUGGUCACGUGUGGCCAGACGAGAGUACCGUACGAAUAAGCAUCGGCUAACUCCGUGCCAGCAGCCGCGGUAAUACGGGGGAUGCAAGCGUUAUCCGGAUUUAUUGGGUUUAAAGGGUGCGUAGGCUGUGAGGUAAGUCAGCGGUGAAAUGCCCCCGCUCAACGGGGUGAAGUGCCAUUGAUACUGCCUGGCUGGAAUGCGGAUGCCGUGGGAGGAAUGUGUGGUGUAGCGGUGAAAUGCAUAGAGAUCACACAGAACACCGAUUGCGAAGGCAUCUCACGAAUCCGCGAUUGACGCUGAUGCACGAAAGCGUGGGUAUCAAACAGGAUUAGAUACCCUAGUAGUC